rnacentral:rRNA from 1 species
GUGGGGAAUCUUCCGCAAUGGACGAAAGUCUGACGGAGCAACGCCGCGUGAACGAUGACGGCCUUCGGGUUGUAAAGUUCUGUUAUACGGGACGAAUGGUACGACGGCCAAUACCCGUCGUAAGUGACGGUACCGUAAGAGAAAGCCACGGCUAACUACGUGCCAGCAGCCGCGGUAAUACGUAGGUGGCAAGCGUUGUCCGGAAUUAUUGGGCGUAAAGGGCGCGCAGGCGGCGUCGUAAGUCGGUCUUAAAAGUGCGGGGCUUAACCCCGUGAGGGGACCAAAACUGCGAUGCUAGAGUAUCGGAGAGGAAAGCGGAAUUCCUAGUGUAGCGGUGAAAUGCGUAGAUAUUAGGAGGAACACCAGUGGCGAAAGCGGCUUUCUGGACGACAACUGACGCUGAGGCGCGAAAGCCAGGGGAGCAAACGGGAUUAGAAACCCGAGUAGUCC